rnacentral:rRNA from 1 species
UUGUAGCUUGCUACAGAUGACGACCGGCGCACGGGUGCGUAACGCGUAUAGAACCUACCUUUUACAUAGGGAUAGCCUUUAGAAAUGAAGAUUAAUACCUUAUAGUAUUGAGACUUGGCAUCAAGUUUUAAUUAAAGAUUUAUCGGUAAAAGAUGGCUAUGCGUCCUAUUAGUUAGUUGGUAAGGUAACGGCUUACCAAGACAUCGAUAGGUAGGGGUCCUGAGAGGGAGAUCCCCCACACUGGUACUGAGACACGGACCAGACUCCUACGGGAGGCAGCAGUGAGGAAUAUUGGACAAUGGAGGCAACUCUGAUCCAGCCAUGCCGCGUGUAGGAAGAAUGCCCUAUGGGUUGUAAACUACUUUUAUACAGGAAGAAACACUGGUAUGUAUACCAGCUUGACGGUACUGUAAGAAUAAGGACCGGCUAACUCCGUGCCAGCAGCCGCGGUAAUACGGAGGGUCCGAGCGUUAUCCGGAAUCAUUGGGUUUAAAGGGUCCGCAGGCGGUCGAUUAAGUCA